rnacentral:rRNA from 1 species
AUCUACGGCCAUGCUACCCUGAACAAGCCCAAUCCCGUCUGAUCUCGGAAGCUAAGCAAGGUCAGGCCUGGUCAGUACAUGGAUAGGAGACCAUCUAGGAGACCAGGUACUGUAGACG